ACGAAUCAUCGAUCCGAACCGGGUCUAGGCCCGCUUAAAGAGGGGGCCGACCGGAACGAGUCUUCGGCUCACCAUUCGUCCUUCCUCCCUUCCCUUAUUCUACCUGUUCUCUGCUCUUUCUAUAUUAGACUAUUCUCACCCCCACCUCGUUCACAGAAACACCGCGCGGAUCUCGCCGGAGGGGACACGAGAACUCCGAUAUUAGGCUACUCUCCGGUACCGUUCUCGAUCUCGAUCCCUGCGAAACCUUUGUCCUCUCUCUCGUUUCAAGUUCUAUUUCUUAGAAAGAAUGGAUCUGGGAUGUCUUUGUUAGAGAUUCGUUCGUAAAUCUCCAUCUCCUACACUUUAAUUUGUAUCGGAAGCCCGUUCGAGAUUAUGCAGCGCAUACCUGCAACGAUCGAGGAGCAGCUUCUUUUAAAGGCGAUUAGGGAAGAAUGCCCAUGGGAGAGUCUUCCGAAACGGCUUCAAGCUAUCCUGUCCUCGAAAGAGGAGUGGCACAGGAGGAUAAUAGAGUAUUGUACCAGAAAACGACUACAAUGGAAUACCUCUUUUGCACGUAAAGUUUGUAAAGAAGGAGAAUAUUAUGAAGAGAUGAUGCGCUAUUUGCGUAAAAAUCUUGCAUUAUUUCCAUAUCAUCUUGCAGAAUAUGUUUGUCGAGUGAUGAGAAUUUCACCAUUUAGAUAUUACUGUGACAUGAUCUUCGAGGUUAUGAAGAAUGAGCAACCAUAUGACAGCAUCCCUAAUUUCAGUGCUGCAGAUGCCUUGAGGAUUACAGGAAUUGGAAGAAAUGAAUUUAUUGAUAUUAUGAAUAAGUGCAGAUCAAAGAAAAUAAUGUGGAAGCUGAACAAGUCGAUUGCAAAAGAAUUACUUCCCACACAACCUGUGGACUUCUUAAUUGAACCAUGGUGGGGAGUUUGCCUUGUUAAUUUUACACUAGAAGAAUUUAAGAAACUCACAGAAGAAGAAAUGGCAACAAUAGAUAAAGUCUGUAAGGAGGAAGCAAAUUCAUUUGUUCUCUUUGAUCCUGACAUCUUAAGAGGUCUUUAUAGAAGGGGAUUAAUCUACUUUGAUGUCCCUGUGUAUCCUGAUGAUCGUUUUAAAGUUUCCAGGCUGGAAGGUUUUGUUUCUAACAAAGAGCAGUCAUAUGAAGAUCCUAUUGAAGAGCUAUUAUAUGCUGUUUUUGUUGUCUCGAGUGAGAAUGCCACUGUUGCUGAAUUGGCUGCAACAUUGCAGGCUGAUCUUUCUCAGCUACAGGCUGCUGCAUCAUUUGCUUGCCGACUGGGCUGGGCUUUAAAGCUUAUAGACCCAGAAUCUAUUCUUCAAGAUUCAAUAAUACCUGGCUCUCCUAGUAAUAUACUCAGCGAUGAUGAAGAUGGUUCAAAUGCUAGUAUCAGCUCAGAAAAAUCUGCUCAACAAGUUCAUGGUCCAGGAACAGAAAAACCUAGGCCAGUUUCCAAUAAUGCUCAUGUUGCUUUUGUUGUGGAUGCUAAUAUAACUUCAUAUCUAAUGAUGGGUUCUCUUUCACCAGGACUGAAGUCUCAUGCUGUGACACUCUAUGAAGCAGGAAAACUUGGUGAUUCUUGUAUUGCAGAACUUUGCAGGGAUCUUGCUACUUUAGAAGGAAAAAAGUUUGAGGGUGAAUUGCAAGAAUUUGCUAACCAUGCAUAUAGUCUUCGAUGUAUUCUGGAGUGCCUGCAAUCUGGUGGAGUGGCUACUAAUGAAGUGGUUGGUAAAGCUAGUGAUCAAGUUGAUGUGGAGCUUUCUUCUAAUGAGGCUACUUCCCUUACAGUUGAUAGAUAUACCAUUGAGAACUCUGGUGAUUCUGACAUUAAUGAAUCAAAGACACUCUACAAUGAUAAUAUGGAACUGCCUCAACUUGAUUGCUCUGCAAAUGAAUCCAAUGCUACAGAGGUUCCUCCUGAUUCAUUUUCAACCACUUCAACUGAAAGUAAUACUCUCACACCAAACAACGAUUUGCAGAAUGGUCAGAACAUAAUGUUGUUAGAGGACCCAAAUGCUGAAAAAACAAUUCUGAAGAGAAAAAGGAAAUACCGAGUUGAUAUCCUUCGUUGUGAAAGCUUGGCUGCUCUUCCACCAGCAACACUAGAGCGCUUACUUCUUAGGGACUAUGACAUUAUUGUAUCCAUGGUUCCACUUCCUUCUUCAUCAGUCUUACCUGGACCUUCAGGUCCCAUCCAUUUUGGACCACCUUCUUAUUCUUCUAUGACACCAUGGAUGAAGCUAGUACUAUAUACAAGUAUGUCUAGUGGACCACUUUCAGUUGUUCUAAUGAAAGGACAGCGUCUACGAUUGGUUCCUGCACCAUUAGCAAGCUGCGAAAAGGCCCUGAUAUGGUCUUGGGAUGGAUCUGUAAUAGGCGGACUAGGAGGCAAGUUUGAAGGGAAUUUGGUUAAUGGAAAUGUACUUCUACACUGUUUAAACUCAAUGCUCCAGCAUUCAGCCGUGCUGGUGCAACCUCUGAGUGGAUAUGAUCUUAAUAAGUCUGGAAGAAUUGUGACAGUGGAUAUUGCACUACCCCUUAAGAAUUCUGAUGGAUCACUUCCACCCAUAGGAUCGGAGUUGGGAUUGUCCAUGGAAGAAAGUGCCAAUUUAAAUUCAUUAUUAGAUGAUCUCUCAAGGAAAGUUGAGUUAUGUACUGUAGGAUAUAUUCGCCUUUUAAGACUUAAGAAAGAAAGUGAAUCUGACAUGUUUCUCCCUGAUAAUGAAAAAUAUGAAUGGGUUCCAUUAAGCUUGGAAUUUGGAGUCCCCCUGUUCAAUCCAAAAUUAUGUAGUAGAAUAUGUGAAAGGGUGGUUUCAUCUCAUUUACUACAAACAGACUCACUUAAUGAACAUCAUGAUGCAAUGCAGAGUUUAAGAAAGAGGUUACGUGAAAUUUGUUCUGAAUACCAAGCAACCGGUCCUACUGCAAAGCUCUUUUACCGCACAGAACAUGUAAGGGAGUCACCCCGCUCUUUGAUCAACUAUGCUAGUGGAAGGUGGAGUCCACUGGAUCCUUCAACACCAAUCUCUGGAGCCUCCAGUGAUCACCAGAGGCUCAAGCUUGCUAAUCGACAGCGAUGCCGGACUGAAGUUCUAAGUUUUGAUGGGAACAUUCUCAGGUCGUAUGCACUAAGUCCUGUGUAUGAGGCUGCCACCAGGCCUAUUGAAGAAUCAACUUCCACAAAUGCAGUAAAGCUUGAAUCAGAUGAUACAGAUGGUAGAGAAGUAGUCCAGCCAGGUGUCAAUCUAUUAUUUGAUGGAUCACAGUUGCACCCAUUUGAUAUAGGUGCUUGUUUGCAAGCCCGUCAACCCAUUUCAUUAAUAGCAGAGGCUUCAGCUGCAUCUGCCUCUUUGUAUGCAACCAGAGCUUCAUGAUUUAAAGAUUAGUGUCAAAUGGUGGGUCCAGAAGUUGACAGGUUGACAUAUUCUCCUCUACAUCACUGGAAAUGCGGUUGGCAUCACUCUCUUUCAGUUGGUUGUUGGAAUCUCUCCACCUCAGGAUUUGGCUGUUGUGAGUUUUGGAUUUUCUACUGCAUACUUGGGAAUUGCUUGUUUCAAGCAUCUAAGUGUACCUAUUAAGGGUCUUUUGCUUAUUCAAUUCCUUGUAACACUACUUAAAAUCAGGUGAGCAUGUCCAAGAUAUUUGUCCAAUUGUAGAAAGUUCUAUUCAAAAUUCUUAAUGAAGCUUUUGCUUCUGCAAUUUUGCACUUAAACUGGAAACGCAGGGUAUCUGGUUGUGAAAACAUUAGUGUGUCAUGUCAGCAGAGCAUUUUGUUUUGCAAAAAGAUUUGUGCUUUUGUAUGUCAAUAAUGCAUUAUGGCACUUCUCCUUUUCAGAAGCUCAUGACUUUUAUAAUAAAAUAAAGCUGGCCGUCUGAAAAAAGGGAUGGAGGGAAACAAACCAACUGGAUGAAUCUCUUUAACAUCUUGGGUGCAUCAGGUUUCCGAUUGGAAUAGGAAUUGGAAAGGCCAUAUCUCUCAAUGCAUUUGGUUCAUAGUCAGAAUUGAAAUCGAAAUGAGAUUUGAUUACCAAAUGAGAGUGGGGAUCAAAUUUUGGAGGAUUGGAUCAUUCUGAUGCCAUUUGAAAUCUGAGAGGGACUCCUUUGAAUUAAAUGACUAGAAUGGAAGUCAUUCAUACCUAUUCUUAUUUUGUAGUCCAUCUCCUCCAAACCAAAUAUACCUCUAAUUUCUCUUUGAAAACUGAAAACUCCUUUAGCAUUUGUUGUUCCUUAUUAGAUAGAUGGUAGCUCGCAAGUGAUCCACGUCACAGUUGACAACAUGUGCUGCAUGCAAGAUUUUCAUUUGAU